CCUGGCCUCAGUCUCCUCCUCUGAAGAAUUAGGGAAGCCACCUUGAGUGCCUUCAGGAUCCCUGCCAGCUGUUCAUCUAGCCCUCUGAGGAAUUCACAUAUUCAACCAAGGGGUCCCCAGAGUGUCCUCCCACCUCUCACUUCCCAAGUGCUGGCGAUACAAGGAGACAACUCCCAGCGAUGGGCAGUCGGGUCCUCUGCUGCAUGGCCCUUUUUCUCCUGGGGGCAGGCACCACGGAUUCUGGAAUCACUCAGACCCCAAAAUACCUGGUCCGAGAGGAAGGGCAGAACGUGUCCCUGAAAUGUGAACAGACUUUCAAUCAUGACUCCAUGUACUGGUACCUGCAGGACCCGGGGCAUGGGUUGAGGCUGAUCUACUACUCACUAGUCUCAAAUAAUGUCCAGGAAGGAGACGCAGCUGCAGGCUACAGAGCCUCUCGGAAGAAGAAGGAGCAUUUCCCUCUCAUGGUGACACGGGCCCAAAGGAACCAGACGGCUCUGUACCUCUGUGCCAGCAGCUUAGCCACAGAGAAGCACAGCCACUGCCUCCCCAUGCAUAAAUGUGUCCCACCUCUCCAACCCCAACCACAGGCUUGGGUGCUCUGUGGCCACGCCCUGCCCUCCUCCUCCAGCCAACCAGGCACACGAAGCAGCUACUGCCUUAUAAAAUGA